AGUGAACGCUGGCGGUAGGCCUAACACAUGCAAGUCGAACGGCAGCACAGUAAGAGCUUGCUCUUACGGGUGGCGAGUGGCGGACGGGUGAGGAAUACAUCGGAAUCUACUUUUUCGUGGGGGAUAACGUAGGGAAACUUACGCUAAUACCGCAUACGACCUACGGGUGAAAGCAGGGGAUCUUCGGACCUUGCGCGAUUGAAUGAGCCGGUGUCGGAUUAGCUAGUUGGCGGGGUAAAGGCCCACCAAGGCGACGAUCCGUAGCUGGUCUGAGAGGAUGAUCAGCCACACUGGAACUGAGACACGGUCCAGACUCCUAAGGGAGGCAGCAGUGGGGAAUAUUGGACAAUGGGCGCAAGCCUGAUCCAGCCAUACCGCGUGGGUGAAGAAGGCCUUCGGGUUGUAAAGCCCUUUUGUUGGGAAAGAAAAGCAGCAGGUUAAUACCCCGCUGUUCUGACGGUACCCAAAGAAUAAGCACCGGCUAACUUCGUG
rnacentral:rRNA from 1 species